rnacentral:rRNA from 1 species
GGAAUCUUCCACAAUGGACGAAAGUCUGAUGGAGCAACGCCGCGUGAGUGAAGAAGGGUUUCGGCUCGUAAAACUCUGUUGUUAAAGAAGAACAUAUCUGAGAGUAACUGUUCAGGUAUUGACGGUAUUUAACCAGAAAGCCACGGCUAGCUACGUGCCAG